rnacentral:lncRNA from 1 species
GUUACAUAAAGUUUCUGCCAGAAUAGGAGUGAUGACCUCACAAUGUAGACACCUAGUUUAUUGACAUUGUGGAAAAUAAUGUCAUGUGACAGGUAAUUGCUUUACUUGGGCUUGCGCUUGCAAUAGUUUAUCUAUUAGUGUGUAUAUACAUAUGGGUGUGCAUUUAUUAUAUUUAUGUUAUAUUGAAAUAGGCAGUGCAGCACCAAAGGAAAAUUAUAUCAUUUUCUGUUUUGCAAAAUCAAUGAAAUGUCAGUACUUUUGAGAAAAAUGGUCUGUUCAAGCCUUCCUCAUUUCCUUUUUUUUUUUACUCUUGUCAGUUCAUCUGUGGCAGUGGAUGGGGUCAUAAUCCAUCUGUGCUGCAACUCCAAGACCAAGCCAGUAGCACUGCAGGUGGCUGGUGGUCAGAUAAUUAAGUACCUUUGGGAGCAGAUCAGCUCUUGGUAAACCUCAUCUGCCAAUCCUGCAGAAUCACCCUCUCUGGCUGUUGAACCGUGGAAGAACCCUGCUGAAUUUCCUGUUCGAUUUCCUUAUCUGUGCGCACAGACCGAAUUGGCCAUGAUUGGAGGAGAGGUAAGUAAACACAAGGCAGAAAAACUUACCACUUAGAGCAGUGACCCAGAAAGUGAUAGCAUUAAGUAGAAAGAGUGUGUGCUUUGGAGGUGGACCUGAGUGUCCACUAAAUCUCAAGGCAACAAUGAGAAGUUACUCACUGUCAACAAUGAGAAGUUUCCUGAGUCUCAGCCUCUCAAUCUCUGAAAUGGGAUUAAGAGAUUGCCUGGCAUGUAGUAGUUAGUUGAUUCCUUUCCUUGGAAGUAUAAAUUCAAAAAUAGAAAAAUGCAACUGGCAGACAUUUAUCUCCAGUUGUACAAAACAUUCAAAGUUAGUUUUAUAAGUAACUUUUGGGGACAACAGAAAUGUAAUCUUGAAACUAGUAAUCAGUAGGUUAUCAUUCAUCAAAUAUUAGAAUGCCUAUAAUUGUGGCAGGUGGUAGGACACAGUGGUUACAAAACCAAACAGCUGACUAAUUCCUGCCCUUCUGGAAUUUUUAAUCUAUCAAUACGGGUAUGGCUGUCCCUUCUGAUAGGAGAAUGAAGUAAAUGAGCAGGGCGUAAUGGUAGAGAAUAGAGAAGUGUUUGAGGCUAGUUAGAGGAUGGUAGCUGUGAGGAUGGGGAGACCAACUUUUGGUGGUCUGGGAAAGCCUCUAGGAGGUGGUGGUGUAUGUGCUGAGUGUGAAGAAAAAGAAAGCUCUAUCUCUGAGAAAGGGAGAGUGUUCCAGGGAGGAGGAACUGUACCUACUGUGAGCUUAGAAAGAGCUCAGCUUAUUCAAGGAACCUAAUGGAAGCAGUGGCUAGACCUUAGUGAUAGGCCAUGGGAAGGAGUGUGGCUUUGCUCAUUUAACAUAGAUUGGGAAACUGAUGAUUUUAAUCAGGGAGUAGUGUGAUGUGCUUCAUGGUUUGAAAGGUUAUUCUGGCUGCCCAGUAGAGAGUAGGUCGAAAGGGAUGAGAGUUGAAGUGGCUGUGACUGGAGGCAGUGAGGGCCGAAAGGUGAUAUGUUUGAGACAUGCGUAGGAGAUAGAAAUGGCAGGGCUUGCUGAUGCACUGGAUGCGCCAUAGUCCACUUUGCACUAGACCAACCACAUCUUAGGCAUCUUAAGUCCCCAUUGCAAGGACCUAGAUGUGAAAUCAUAGGGCAAUGGAACCAUGUAAUAGAAGAGUU